AUCGAACGCUGGCGGCAGGCCUAACACAUGCAAGUCGAACGAGUGGCGGACGGGUGAGUAAUGUCUGGGAAACUGCCUGAUGGAGUGGGAUAACUACUGGAAACGGUAGCUAAUACCGCAUACCAUCAGAUGUGCCCAGAUGGGAUUAGCUAGUUGUGGGGGUAACGGCGCACAAAGGCGACGAUCCCUAGCUGGUCUGAGAGGAUGACCAGCGACACUGGAACUGAGACAAGGGCCAUACGCCUACGGGAGGCAGCAGAGGGGAAUGUGGCACAGUGGGCGCAAGCCGGAUGCGGACGUGGCGCGUGUAGGAAGAGGGCCUUCGGGGUGUAAAGGACGUUAAGCGGGGAGGCGGUACCCGCAGAAGAAGCACCGGCUAACUCCGUGCCAGCAGCCGCGGUAAUAC
rnacentral:rRNA from 1 species